rnacentral:tRNA from 1 species
GGGCCUAUAGCUCAAUGGCAGAGCACGCGGCUCAUAACCGCUUGGUUCUAGGUUCGAAUCCUAGUAGGCCCA